rnacentral:rRNA from 1 species
GGUUAAGCGACUAAGCGUACACGGUGGAUGCCCUGGCAGUCAGAGGCGAUGAAGGACGUGCUAAUCUGCGAUAAGCGUCGGUAAGGUGAUAUGAACCGUUAUAACCGGCGAUUUCCGAAUGGGGAAACCCAGUGUGUUUCGACACACUAUCAUUAACUGAAUCCAUAGGUUAAUGAGGCGAACCGGGGGAACUGAAACAUCUAAGUACCCCGAGGAAAAGAAAUCAACCGAGAUUCCCCCAGUAGCGGCGAGCGAACGGGGAGCAGCCCAGAGCCUGAAUCAGUGUGUGUGUUAGUGGAAGCGUCUGGAAAGGCGCGCGAUACAGGGUGACAGCCCCGUACACAAAAAUGCACAUACUGUGAGCUCGAUGAGUAGGGCGGGACACGUGGUAUCCUGUCUGAAUAUGGGGGGACCAUCCUCCAAGGCUAAAUACUCCUGACUGACCGAUAGUGAACCAGUACCGUGAGGGAAAGGCGAAAAGAACCCCGGCGAGGGGAGUGAAAAAGAACCUGAAACCGUGUACGUACAAGCAGUGGGAGCCUCUUUUAUGGGGUGACUGCGUACCUUUUGUAUAAUGGGUCAGCGACUUAUAUUCUGUAGCAAGGUUAACCGAAUAGGGGAGCCGAAGGGAAACCGAGUCUUAACUGGGCGUUAAGUUGCAGGGUAUAGACCCGAAACCCGGUGAUCUAGCCAUGGGCAGGUUGAAGGUUGGGUAACACUAACUGGAGGACCGAACCGACUAAUGUUGAAAAAUUAGCGGAUGACUUGUGGCUGGGGGUGAAAGGCCAAUCAAACCGGGAGAUAGCUGGUUCUCCCCGAAAGCUAUUUAGGUAGCGCCUCGUGAAUUCAUCUCCGGGGGUAGAGCACUGUUUCGGCAAGGGGGUCAUCCCGACUUACCAACCCGAUGCAAACUGCGAAUACCGGAGAAUGUUAUCACGGGAGACACACGGCGGGUGCUAACGUCCGUCGUGAAGAGGGAAACAACCCAGACCGCCAGCUAAGGUCCCAAAGUCAUGGUUAAGUGGGAAACGAUGUGGGAAGGCCCAGACAGCCAGGAUGUUGGCUUAGAAGCAGCCAUCAUUUAAAGAAAGCGUAAUAGCUCACUGGUCGAGUCGGCCUGCGCGGAAGAUGUAACGGGGCUAAACCAUGCACCGAAGCUGCGGCAGCGACGCUUAUGCGUUGUUGGGUAGGGGAGCGUUCUGUAAGCCUGUGAAGGUGUGCUGUGAGGCAUGCUGGAGGUAUCAGAAGUGCGAAUGCUGACAUAAGUAACGAUAAAGCGGGUGAAAAGCCCGCUCGCCGGAAGACCAAGGGUUCCUGUCCAACGUUAAUCGGGGCAGGGUGAGUCGACCCCUAAGGCGAGGCCGAAAGGCGUAGUCGAUGGGAAACAGGUUAAUAUUCCUGUACUUGGUGUUACUGCGAAGGGGGGACGGAGAAGGCUAUGUUGGCCGGGCGACGGUUGUCCCGGUUUAAGCGUGUAGGCUGGUUUUCCAGGCAAAUCCGGAAAAUCAAGGCUGAGGCGUGAUGACGAGGCACUACGGUGCUGAAGCAACAAAUGCCCUGCUUCCAGGAAAAGCCUCUAAGCAUCAGGUAACAUCAAAUCGUACCCCAAACCGACACAGGUGGUCAGGUAGAGAAUACCAAGGCGCUUGAGAGAACUCGGGUGAAGGAACUAGGCAAAAUGGUGCCGUAACUUCGGGAGAAGGCACGCUGAUAUGUAGGUGAAGCGACUUGCUCGUGGAGCUGAAAUCAGUCGAAGAUACCAGCUGGCUGCAACUGUUUAUUAAAAACACAGCACUGUGCAAACACGAAAGUGGACGUAUACGGUGUGACGCCUGCCCGGUGCCGGAAGGUUAAUUGAUGGGGUCAGCGCAAGCGAAGCUCUUGAUCGAAGCCCCGGUAAACGGCGGCCGUAACUAUAACGGUCCUAAGGUAGCGAAAUUCCUUGUCGGGUAAGUUCCGACCUGCACGAAUGGCGUAAUGAUGGCCAGGCUGUCUCCACCCGAGACUCAGUGAAAUUGAACUCGCUGUGAAGAUGCAGUGUACCCGCGGCAAGACGGAAAGACCCCGUGAACCUUUACUAUAGCUUGACACUGAACAUUGAGCCUUGAUGUGUAGGAUAGGUGGGAGGCUUAGAAGUGUGGACGCCAGUCUGCAUGGAGCCGACCUUGAAAUACCACCCUUUAAUGUUUGAUGUUCUAACGUUGACCCGUAAUCCGGGUUGCGGACAGUGUCUGGUGGGUAGUUUGACUGGGGCGGUCUCCUCCUAAAGAGUAACGGAGGAGCACGAAGGUUGGCUAAUCCUGGUCGGACAUCAGGAGGUUAGUGCAAUGGCAUAAGCCAGCUUGACUGCGAGCGUGACGGCGCGAGCAGGUGCGAAAGCAGGUCAUAGUGAUCCGGUGGUUCUGAAUGGAAGGGCCAUCGCUCAACGGAUAAAAGGUACUCCGGGGAUAACAGGCUGAUACCGCCCAAGAGUUCAUAUCGACGGCGGUGUUUGGCACCUCGAUGUCGGCUCAUCACAUCCUGGGGCUGAAGUAGGUCCCAAGGGUAUGGCUGUUCGCCAUUUAAAGUGGUACGCGAGCUGGGUUUAGAACGUCGUGAGACAGUUCGGUCCCUAUCUGCCGUGGGCGCUGGAGAACUGAGGGGGGCUGCUCCUAGUACGAGAGGACCGGAGUGGACGCAUCACUGGUGUUCGGGUUGUCAUGCCAAUGGCACUGCCCGGUAGCUAAAUGCGGAAGAGAUAAGUGCUGAAAGCAUCUAAGCACGAAACUUGCCCCGAGAUGAGUUCUCCCUGACCCUUUAAGGGUCCUGAAGGAACGUUGAAGACGACGACGUUGAUAGGCCGGGUGUGUAAGCGCAGCGAUGCGUUGAGCUAACCGGUACUAAUGAACCGUGAGGCUUAACCUU